rnacentral:rRNA from 1 species
UAGGGAAUUUUGGGCAAUGGGCGAAAGCCUGACCCAGCAACGCCGCGUGUGGGAUGAAGGCCCUCGGGUCGUAAACCACUGUCAGGAGGAAAGAAAAGUCGGCCGGAUAAUACUCGGUCGACCUGACGGUACCUCCAAAGGAAGCACCGGCUAACUCCGUGCCAGCAGCCGCGGUAAUACGGAGGGUGCAAGCGUUGUUCGGAAUUACUGGGCGUAAAGCGCGUGUAGGUGGUCGAGUAAGUCGAAUGUGAAAGCCCCGGGCUCAACCCGGGAAGUGCAUCCGAAACUGCUCGACUAGAGUCCCGGAGAGGAAGGCAGAAUUCCCAAUGUAGGGGUGAAAUCCGUAGAUAUUAAGAGGAACACCUGAGGUGAAGACGGGUUGCUGGGCUGACACUGACGCUGAGGCGCGAAAGCCAGGGGAGCAAACGGGAUUAGAUACCCCAGUAGUCCCUGAGCGGGCUGGCAAGGCGC